GCUUCGGUGGCCUAGUGGUUAGAGCGUCCGCCUCAGAUGCGGGAUCUCCUGGUUUCUAUCCCCGGUAGAGACA